CAACGCCGCGUGCGGGAUGACGGCCUUCGGGUUGUAAACCGCUUUUAGUAAGGAAGAAGGGGAGCUUGCUCCUUGACGGUACUUGCAGAAAAAGGACCGGCUAACUACGUGCCAGCAGCCGCGGUAAUACGUAGGGUCCGAGCGUUGUCCGGAAUUAUUGGGCGUAAAGAGCUCGUAGGCGGUUUGUCGCGUCUGCUGUGAAAUCCCGAGGCUCAACCUCGGGUCUGCAGUGGGUACGGGCAGACUGGAGUGCGGUAGGGGAGAAUGGAAUUCCUGGUGUAGCGGUGGAAUGCGCAGAUAUCAGGAGGAACACCGAUGGCGAAGGCAGUUCUCUGGGCCGUAACUGACGCUGAGGAGCGAAAGCGUGGGGAGCGAACAGGAUUAGAUACCCUGGUAGUCCACGCCGUAAACGUUGGGCGCUAGAUGUGGGGACCUUUCCACGGUUUCCGUGUCGUAGCUAACGCAUUAAGCGCCCCGCCUGGGGAGUACGGCCGCAAGGCUAAAACUCAAAGGAAUUGACGGGGGCCCGCACAAGCGGCGGAGCAUGCGGAUUAAUUCGAUGCAACGCGAAGAACCUUACCAAGGCUUGACAUAUACGAGAACGCUGCAGAAAUGUAGAACUCU
rnacentral:rRNA from 1 species